GCUGGCGGCAUGCUUAACACAUGCAAGUCGAACGGAAACGAUGGAAGCUUGCUUCCAGGCGUCGAGUGGCGAACGGGUGAGUAAUGCUUGGGAAUCUGCCUAAUAGUGGGGAACAACUCGGGGAAACUCGGGCUAAUACCGCAUAAUCUCUUCGGAGGAAAGGGGGCCUCUACAUGUAAGCUCUCGCUAAUAGAUGAGCCCAAGUCAGAUUAGCUUGUUGGUAAGGUAACGGCUUACCAAGGCAACGAUCUGUAGCUGGUCUGAGAGGAUGAUCAGCCACACUGGGACUGAGACACGGCCCAGACUCCUACGGGAGGCAGCAGUGGGGAAUAUUGCACAAUGGGCGAAAGCCUGAUGCAGCAAUGCCGCGUGUGUGAAGAAGGCUCUAGGGUUGUAAAGCACUUUCAAUAAGGAAGAAAAGCAUGAGAUUAAUAACCUUAUGUAUUGACAUAACUUAUACAAGAAGCACCGGCUAAUUCCGUGCCAGCAGCCGCGGUAAUACGGAAGGUGCAAGCGUUAAUCGGAAUUACUGGGCGUAAAGCGCGCGUAGGCUGUUAUCUAAGUCGGAUGUGAAAUCCUCGGGCUCAACCUGGGAACUGCAUCCGAAACUGAAUAACUAGAGUAUGGGAGAGGUAAGUAGAAUUUCCGGUGUAGCGGUGAAAUGCGUAGAUAUCGGAAGGAAUACCAGUGGCGAAGGCGGCUUACUGGACCAAUACUGACGCUGAGGUGCGAAAGCGUGGGGAGCGAACAGGAUUAGAUACCCUGGUAGUCCACGCCGUAAACGAUGAGAACUAGAUGUUGGGAGGGUUAGCCUCUCAGUGUCGCAGCUAACGCAUUAAGUUC
rnacentral:rRNA from 1 species